rnacentral:misc_RNA from 1 species
AGUCGACCGUACGGUACGAACGACCGAUAGCCACCACACGGACGGCCCCUGGCAUACGGGCAACCCGGCCGACAGCCAAUUUGACAGGAGUUCGACUUUAGUUGAGAACCAACCUAUCCUCAGCUUGCCCUCUUCUGCUAUUUUAUUCGCCGCCUCCAACGAGUAUCUGGUCCAACACGACCACAUGCCAUUAUGAGCCGGACGAAUCGGACAUUGUGACAUCUUGAAGUUUGCAACCGCCUUUAUCUACGAUGGCUGAGGUAAUCUCCUUCUUAUUGGUACCUUCCAUCGGGUCGCAUAUUCUAAUAUCCUUUUGAUUGUUUUUCGCAGGUUGCCACAGUCGCCAGCCUCUUUCUACCCUCCAAGAGACAAGGGAUCGCUUUCCAGGAUUGUCGCUCUACUCAGGAACGCUGGAACGUUCGUCGAGUUUGCAUCCGUCGGAAGGACCGCUACUACAAUUCGGAUCGUCUCCACUCGGAUUCGCACAACACUCAACGGUUCUACUUAAAUUAAUUGCUAAUCGUAUGUUUCGUUUUGUUUCAGGUGCCGCCGUCGUCUCAGGAUCGUCUCCAGGUUCUUCGUCGUCGUCUCACGGGAACUUCGCCAGGUAAGUAUGUUUUUAAUAGAUGUGUAUGCCCGCAGUCUCGUGUUUUGAUAGGACUCUUUCUUUUCAGGUCACCCGGAUUCCAUCGAACUCAAGAACAGUCACCCAGGAUACUGUUAAGGUAAGUGAGAAACAUAACACUUUAGUUUCGGUUCAACAAAUAACAAACAGGUAGGUUUAUUCAUCAACCUUUUACAAACAGCUCACAUAAUCCCGUCCGCGACGCUUCUUCACACUCGCGUAAACGUGGUUUGUUAUUCGCUUUGCAUUUAAACAGGCCUACUCGCGUUCGGCCAGUGCGCUUUAAUUUAUAACUCGGAAGAUGAUUAUCGUCGCGUAUCCGCGGAACUUUCGCUAGAUCGCUCGCGCCUACUAGCAUUCGGCGGGAAUUAUACAGUAUCGACUGUCCGGGGUGUUCCCCUUGUGAAAUCUUACGCGCAAAAGCUCUCGGGCGCUUGUAACGCGACUUUAUAUAGUCGCUCGCACGGGCUUCCCUUUCUCUUGCGUCUCCGCCAAUCGCGGUGUUGACCAGUGGUGCAAGUUUUUGGGCCGCGAGCACCUCGGGUGCUCCGCCGAGCACUCAAGUCGGUCGCGUUUGUACUUCGAGUCUCGGGCCGGCUCGGUCGCUCUCGCUGCGCCUACCUUUACUCGGUUAUUAAACAGAGAGAGACGUCCGUCUCUCUUCCUCCAAGGCUGCCACGAAAGCGUGCGUUCAGCGGCCAACGAUUGACGCUUGACGAAAGGCACCUAUGCUCCCCCCGUCCCCUCGCAUGACUCCCGCUCAUCUCAGCAUCGCGAUCGUCGAGCAAAUCAAUUGAUAUUAAUCAUUGAUAGCAUUGAUAAUAUUAUUUAUAAUUUUUAUUAAAUUUUUUACCAUUAAUUAAUGUAAUUUAUUGUCCUAUUAAAAUUAUAAUAAAUUAAUUAUAAUAAAAUAAAUUAUAAUAAAAAUGUACAUUAAAUAAUAAUAAACAUUUUUAAUAAAUUAUUAAUUAUACAACUAAAAAUAGAAAGAGCUGAUGAGUUAGCAGCAAAAGAUCUUUCUAUCCAAAUUCUUUAUUCUGUAAUAGUUAAUAGACAUUUCGUUAUUCGAUCAUUUUUAAUAUAUAGUUUCCCCAAAUGUACCAUAAGUAUCAAAUAAAUACGCCAACAUGUCAAA